GGCGGGAUAGCAAAGUGGUUAUGCAGCGGAUUGCAAAUCCGUCGACGCCGGUUCGAUUCCGACUCCCGCCUCCA
rnacentral:tRNA from 2 species